AUUGUUUCAGGGACUCCGGCCUACCAUCCCAAAGCACACUCACCCAAAGCUUGGUGAGCUACUGCAGAGUUGCUGGCAGGGGAAUGCUAAGAUGAGACCCGACUUUGUUGAUAUAAUCACAAUCCUGCAGCAAAUAGCAAAGGAGGUUGCAGAAGAGGGGGAGGAUCGGCGCAAGGAGAAGCCCGGCAAAUUCCUAUCUGUCCUCCGGAGAGGACAUCAUUGAAUCGCCAGGAGCAGAGUCAAGUAGGCUUUUAUUUUCUUCAGCAUGAAAAGAUCUGUACAGUUCCCGUAGCUGAAAGUGAACACGCAGUAUGUAUCAAUGCUUCUCCUUGCAUUUGAUUGAUUCGUAAUGUAGUUAAUCAUCACUUAAAUCUUUCAAUGGCGAAUGACUUACUGCCCUCCACCAAA